CCUACGGGCGGCAGCAGUGAGGAAUAUUGGUCAAUGGGCGAGAGCCUGAACCAGCCAAGUCGCGUGAAGGAUGACGGCCCUACGGGUUGUAAACUUCUUUUGUCAGGGAGCAAUUUGGUCCACGCGUGGGCUUAGCGAUAGUACCUGAAGACAAAGCCUCGGCUAACUCCGUGCCAGCAGCCGCGGUAAUACGAAGGUUGGGAGGGUUAUCCGGAUUUAUUGGGUUUAAAGGGUGCGUAAGCGGAAUAUCAAGUCAGCGGUAAAAAUUCGGGGCUCAACCCCGUCGUGCCGUUGAAACUGAUGUUCUUGAGUGGGCGAGAAGUAGGCGGAAUGCGUGGUGUAGCGGUGAAAUGCAUAGAUAUCACGAAGAACUCCGAUUGCGAAGGCAGCAUACCGGAGCCCAACUGACGCUGAAGCACGAAAGCGUGGGUAUCGAACAGGAUUAGAUACCCGGGUAGUC
rnacentral:rRNA from 1 species